CAAUAGCGUAUAUUAAAGUUGUUGCAGUUAAAAAGCUCGUAGUUGGACUUCUGGUGGGAGCGAUCGGUCUGGCGCUUAGCGCGAGUACUUGCAUCGUCUCCGGCCAUCCUUGGGGAGAGUCUGUCUGGCAUUAGGUUGUCGGGCAGAGGAUCCUCAUCGUUUACUGUGAAAAAAUUAGAGUGUUCAAAGCAGGCUUAUGCCGUUGAAUAUAUUAGCAUGGAAUAAUAAGAUAGGACUUUGGUACUAUUUUGUUGGUUUGCGCACCAAAGUAAUGAUUAAUAGGGACAGUUGGGGGUAUUCGUAUUCCGUUGUCAGGGGUGAAAUUCUUGGAUUUACGGAAGACGAACUACUGCGAAAGCAUUUACCAAGGAUGUUUUCAUUAA
rnacentral:rRNA from 1 species